GUGACAGAGAGUGCGUUUGGACAGACUCAGGAGUGUGAUUUUCACUUAGCUUUGCUUGGGAUUGCAGCUUGGGCUUAUAGACAUGGAGUGCUCGGCUGGACAGCCACCACCCUAUCAUGAAAAUUCAUGGUCCAAGUAGAGGAAAUGUCUGAGAGGAAAAACAGUUCCCGAGUUAUCCUGUCUACAGACAGCUCUUCCACUAUCAUUUCCUCAUUAGCUGAGAAGCGUGGCAGCAUGACUUUGUCGGGAAAGAACAACGAUGCUCUUUUCCUGCGACCAGGGAAUUUAGAGCUGGGGAAGACGCUUCUUCAAGGCUACCAGAUAUUUUCUCCCCAUUUGGCUCAAGGAUUCAAGGAUUCCAGUGUCUGCAAAGGAGCUUAUCUACAAGGUGCUUUAAAAAAAUCACAAUCUACUGUAAGACACAGUAUUAAAUAAAUGAAACAAAACAACCACAACUCACCAACUAAAAGUUUUAUUUGGUGGUUAUGACUUUCUGCUUAUAAACCCUGCUUCCGUUCGUACUCGGGGCUGCCAGAAGAAACAAGGUUCCCGAGUCCUUGUCUGGUGGACCUGACCAAUCACCGACUCUGCUUAUGUGAUGGAAAUAAUAAAAGAUUUUGCUGUUUCACACACUCACUGGUAUAUUCUUUCCCCUUCCUGUGGCUCACAAUGGACAUGAAAUAAUUCUGAGCACCAAUACACAGCUCACAGUUGCCUGUAAUUCCAAUUUCAAGGGAUCCAUCACCCUCUUAUGGUCUUCUUGGGCAGUGCAUGCACACAGUAAAAUGCAGACAAUAAAACAAAAAUAAGAAUAAUAAAAAAAAUUGAAUGUUUAAAUUACCUGUUUAAAUGUUUAAAAAGAAGAAUGUUUGAAUAUACUGUUUGGAAAUGUCUUUGUUUCUUAAACAGAUUAUACUAUUUGCCUUGUAUUUUUAGGGGUAGGACAAUUUGAAUUCAUUGUUAAUUCAUUGUGGUUGUACUGAUUAGAAAUUAAUUUUUGUUGAACUGUACUCUAAGGCAUAAUUUGCUUCUCCACUAACUUUUGGCUCAUUGUAGCAUGUCAGGUUAGUGCUCCUUCACUGAAGGGUGUUGACGAACAUGGCUUUAUUAAUUUCUUGUCAAAUGUGAUUUCUUGGGAUGUAAGUAACCUCUGUCGAUUGCCUGUCAGUAUAAGAAGUUACAGCUGUUUGCCUAAUGUCACUCUGCGCCCAUCAGGGAGAAUAAAAAUAAAUGUUCUCAUUUUAAAUCGCCUCAGGAAAAAGCUCAGAGUAUUACUAACCUGGUAAGAUGUUGUCACACAGUCACUGCUAUUAAAAACUUUGGUUCUUGAAUGACUUAGGGGCUGAUACUGUUCCCUCAUGUUAGCAGUAUCAAGUUCUACAACAGUUAAAUUGGCUCAAUAUCAUCUAGGACAUUGAACUUUCCUACUGACAACGUAGAGGGCCAAGAAAUACUGACAUGAGAAAUUAAAAUAAUCUCAUCUGUAAAACUGUUUAGCAGUAAUUAAGAGAAGUGUUAUAGACAGCUUGUGAAAUUAUAAAUUUUAUUAAAUUUAUUCUUUGACAAUUUCAUGCAUGUAUGUAAUUUGUUCUGGCUACUUUUACCCCUCCCCCCAAUAUAUCUAAUUUCCCUUAUAUAUCUUUUAUCUCCUGCUUCCCUAAAGUUCCUUACCCACGUUUAUGACCUUUUGUCUCAUGAUGUGACACAAUGAAUUUAACCAAGACUAUCUGAUCUGUGUGCCCACAAUUUUUGAACUGUCCUUUGGAGUUUGAAUGCUUCAUGAGUAGGUACACAAUUCAAGAAAACGACUACCCCUUCUUCAAGAAUCCUCCAGUUGCCAACAAUCUACCAGAGAGAGAAUCUCCUGAUGGCCCACCUGAAGACAGAAGAGCCCAGUGGGACUUCCAAGCUCCUUAAAGCUGCCAAGUCUGUAUCCUGAGUGAAAGCCAACUCCCCAUAGAGGAAAGGUAACUCCGCCCUGGCUCAUGUCCAACUUCCCCUCUGGCAGGAACUGCCAAUUGAGCUGUUCUGGUUUAAAACAGGAUGCCAAAGCUAAUUUUAUCUUUUUUUCCCCUUGUGCUCCUUCUUUGUCCAGCUCAGCAAUUCACAGUUUGUAUUUCUUCAUGAGGCUGCAUUUCAGAACUAGGAAAUGAUGGGCUUAUCAAAGGAUAAAGUGUUCACUGGAAAUGUGGGGCAAGCAUCCAAGUCCAUUUGUCCUUUCAUGUCUUGCUUCCUCUGUGGAAAGAGAAAUUAGGCAGGGCAUAUGGUUUUCAAAAAUAAAAGCUACUUUCUCUAUCCUCCUUGCUUCCAGGUGGGGCCAGGUGACUGCUUCCUGGCCAAGAAGGCAUAAGCAGAAGUGAUCCAGAAAAGCCCCUAAGAGCAUCCUUCAAAAACAACUGAGGCACAUUUUUUUUUUUUUUACCACUUCAUCUCUCCUUUCUCCAUGUGAUGGUUGGAUCCACAUCUUGCACUAAUGCUAGAAGAGAAACAAGAACUUUUCAAGGGAUCUGUUGGUCGAAGGUCCAGUUAGAGCUCUUCUACAAGCCUUGUUGGAUUAGUGGGUGCUUCAGGUUUUCUUGCUUAACCUGAAAUGGGGAAACCCUAGAGCACGAGUUGAACUAAGUAUAGCAUCUGAAUUUUCUGUUAUUCACAAUUUUGGACUUUAAUCUUCACUGACUUCUUGACUCAAUUUAGAAUUAACUAGGAAACACACUACACUUCUAGGUGUGUCUACAAGGGAAUUCAGAAGAAGUCCAGUCUGGCUUCCAAAUUUCCAAAGCUCUAUGUCCUGAAUGAAGGUCUAAGAAAGGAAAAGAAGAUAAAACCUGUAUAUGCGCAGCACCCUCACCUUCAAAUCUAGAUACUGGCAUCCUGGAUAAAAUGCAAAGGAAGAAGGGAGGCAGGCAAGGGCAUGCAUUUUUCAGCACUGAUGGCUCUCUGCUUCUGUCUAUGGAUGCAGUGUGACCAGGUGCCUUACCUUCUUGCUGCUGUGCCUUUCCCACCAUGAUGGACGAAAUGCUCAAACCAUGACCUGAAAUAACUCCUCCACCAUUAGGUUACAUUGUCAGGUAUUUUGUCACAAGAUUGAGGAAAGUAACUGACACAGUUAAUAAGGAUACAAAUUAAGUUCAUUUGUGUGUGUGUGUGUGUGUGUGUGUGUGUGUGUGUGUUUGUGUUCUACUUAGUCAGGCAUUAGUAUAUAUUAAUUCUACAACACAGUAGGCUCCAAUGUGACAGUUUCUUAUGUGUAUAUAAACUAGAUCCAAUAAGAUAUUUCCAUAGAUGAAUGUAACAUCCAUUACUCAUAUUACAUAUAAAUAUUUUAUUGAGGUAUGACCUUGCUCUGUAGCCCAUCUAGUCUUUAAAGCACCAUCAUCCUGUCUAAACUCUACAAGAACUGAAGGAGCCACACAUCCAGAACAUUUAAAAUUAUAGUUUGAAAGCCUACAUAAAGAUAAGAAAUGUCAAGUAAUCUGAAAAUAUAUGUAUUUUCAAGGACAAAUUCUUUAAAAUUUUAAACAGUGUAUUAUUAGAAGUGUGGGUAGGCAGGUGUAUGCAUGAUGUGUGUGUGUGUGUGUGUGUGUGUGUGUGUGUGUGUGUGUGUGUGUGCGCACACGUGCACGUGUGUACAGGAGCAUGAAUAUUCCAAGCAGUCAGAGGUCAAUUUUGUAUAUUCAAUUCUGUUUUUUUUCCCUGUCAUUGGUUUGGGGGAUUAAACUCUCAUCUCUGGAACUCUAUUUCAUUGGUCCAGGCUUUCUAAAUAUAAUGCAAAACAAAUAAACUUGUGUAAUAGUCUAU